rnacentral:rRNA from 1 species
GAUGAACGCUGGCGGCGUGCCUAAUACAUGCAAGUCGAGCGAACGGACGAGAAGCUUGCUUCUCUGAUGUUAGCGGCGGACGGGUGAGUAACACGUGGAUAACCUACCUAUAAGACUGGGAUAACUUCGGGAAACCGGAGCUAAUACCGGAUAAUAUUUUGCACCGCAUGGGUCAAAAGUGAAAGACGGUCUUGCUGUCACUUAUCGAUGGAUCCGCGCUGCAUUAGCUAGUUGGUAAGGUAACGGCUUACCAAGGCAACGAUGCAUAGCCGACCUGAGAGGGUGAUCGGCCACACUGGAACUGAGACACGGUCCAGACUCCUACGGGAGGCAGCAGUAGGGAAUCUUCCGCAAUGGGCGAAAGCCUGACGGAGCAACGCCGCGUGAGUGAUGAAGGUCUUCGGAUCGUAAAACUCUGUUAUUAGGGAAGAACAUAUGUGUAAGUAACUGUGCACAUCUUGACGGUACCUAAUCAGAAAGCCACGGCUAACUACGUG